AGCGGCGGACGGGUGAGUAACACGUGGGUAACCUGCCUGUAAGACUGGGAUAACUCCGGGAAACCGGGGCUAAUACCGGAUGGUUGUUUGAACCGCAUGGUUCAAACAUAAAAGGUGGCUUCGGCUACCACUUACAGAUGGACCCGCGGCGCAUUAGCUAGUUGGUGGAGGUAACGGCUCACCAAGGCGACGAUGCGUAGCCGACCUGAGAGGGUGAUCGGCCACACUGGGACUGAGACACGGCCCAGACUCCUACGGGAGGCAGCAGUAGGGAAUCUUCCGCAAUGGACGAAAGUCUGACGGAGCAACGCCGCGUGAGUGAUGAAGGUUUUCGGAUCGUAAAGCUCUGUUGUUAGGGAAGAACAAGUACCGUUCGAAUAGGGCGGUACCUUGACGGUACCUAACCAGAAAGCCACGGCUAACUACGUGCCAGCAGCCGCGGUAAUACGUAGGUGGCAAGCUGUCCCGGAAAUUUUGGGGCGUAAAGGGCUCGCAGGCGGUUUCUUUAAGUCUGAUGUGAAAGCCCCCGGCUCAACCGGGGAGGGUCAUUGGAAACUGGGGAACUUGAGUGCAGAAGAGGAGAGUGGAAUUCCACGUGUAGCGGUGAAAUGCGUAGAGAUGUGGAGGAACACCAGUGGCGAAGGCGACUCUCUGGUCUGUAACUGACGCUGAGGAGCGAAAGCGUGGGGAGCGAACAGGAUUAGAUACCCUGGUAGUCCACGCCGUAAACGAUGAGUGCUAAGUGUUAGGGGGUUUCCGCCCCUUAGUGCUGCAGCUAACGCAUUAAGCACUCCGCCUGGGGAGUACGGUCGCAAGACUGAAACUCAAAGGAAUUGACGGGGGCCCGCACAAGCGGUGGAGCAUGUGGUUUAAUUUCAAGCAACGCGAAGAACCUUACCAGGUCUUGACAUCCUCUGACAAUCCUAGAGAUAGGACGUCCCCUUCGGGGGCAGAGUGACAGGUGGUGCAUGGUUGUCGUCAGCUCGUGUCGUGAGAUGUUGGGUUAAGUCCCGCAACGAGCGCAACCCUUGAUCUUAGUUGCCAGCAUUCAGUUGGGCACUCUAAGGUGACUGCCGGUGACAAACCGGAGGAAGGUGGGGAUGACGUCAAAUCAUCAUGCCCCUUAUGACCUGGGCUACACACGUGCUACAAUGGACAGAACAAAGGGCAGCGAAACCGCGAGGUUAAGCCAAUCCCACAAAUCUGUUCUCAGUUCGGAUCGCAGUCUGCAACUCGACUGCGUGAAGCUGGAAUCGCUAGUAAUCGCGGAUCAGCAUGCCGCGGUGAAUACGUUCCCGGGCCUUGUACACACCGCCCGUCACAACCACGAGAGUUUGUAACACCCGAAGUCGGUGAGGUAACC
rnacentral:rRNA from 1 species